CUAAGGGCGGUGAAGUCAGACCGGAAGGACUGGUGGAGCGCUUAGAAGUGAGAAUGCCGGUAUGAGUAGCGAAAGAAGGGUGAGAAUCCCUUCCACCGAAUAGCGAAGGUUGCCUGAGGAAGGCGCGGCCGCUCAGGGUUAGUCGGGACCUAAGCCGAGGCCGAUAGGCGUAGGCGAUGGACAACAGGUAGAGAUUCCUGUACCAGUGCUAAUUGUUUAACCGAUGGGGUGACACAGAA
rnacentral:rRNA from 1 species